rnacentral:rRNA from 1 species
CAGUAGCCGCGGUAACACGAAGGGUGCAAGCGUUACUCGGAAUUACUGGGCGUAAAGCGUGCGUAGGUGGUGGUUUAAGUCCGUUGUGAAAGCCCUGGGCUCAACCUGGGAAUUGCAGUGGAUACUGGGUCACUAGAGUGUGGUAGAGGAUAGUGGAAUUUCCGGUGUAGCAGUGAAAUGCGUAGAGAUCGGAAGGAACAUCUGUGGCGAAGGCGACUAUCUGGGCCAACACUGACACUGAGGCACGAAAGCGUGGGGAGCAAACAGGAUUAGAUACCCGAGUAGUCCCUGUCUCUUAUAC